rnacentral:lncRNA from 1 species
GGUAAAUUCACCCAUAAUAUAAGUAAAGUCGUUUUACCCAAAAAUAAAACAUCAACAAUUAUAGAAGAGUAACAGCAAAAAACAACUAAAAUUGAUAAUAUCAAGCGGUGUUAUUUGAUGAAUCCAACAUUUCACCAGCAAACUUUGGCGUACUUAACUUUUUCGGCAUCGAAAGUCUUCAACCUGAAAAUUCCAAUCUGUGGUUAAAAUUAUGUUCCUGGAUGAAUCAUAAUUAAAGGUAAUAAUAAUUAAAAUCAGUUUUAUGACAACAACGCCAUUAGCGUUCUACUACUAAUAUUUCUAUUGUCACUCUACGGAUACGGUGAGGAUACGUUCCUUGGGGCCCGCUAGAUGGAAUGAGGCGAUAGUUGGAUGUUCCCUGAUUGGGAUAAAACC